rnacentral:tRNA from 1 species
GCUCAGUUGGAUAGAGCGUCUGGCUACGGACCAGAAGGUCGUGGGUUCGAAUCCUGUCA